CCUACGGGGGGCUGCAGUGAGGAAUAUUGGGCAAUGGGCGAAAGCCUGACCCAGCAACGCCGCGUGGAGGAAGACGGCCUUCGGGUUGUAAACUCCUUUUGACAGGGAAGAGAGAGGACGGUACCUGUCGAAUAAGUCACGGCUAACUACGUGCCAGCAGCCGCGGUAAUACGUAGGUGACAAGCGUUAUCCGGAAUUACUGGGCGUAAAGCGCACGCAGGCGGCUGCUUAAGUCUGACGUGAAAUCUCCUGGCUUAACUGGGAGGGGUCGUUGGAAACUGAGUGGCUUGAGGUGGUGAGAGGGGUGCAGAAUUCCCGGUGUAGUGGUGGAAUGCGUAGAUAUCGGGAGGAAUACCAGUGGCGAAAGCGGCACCCUGGCACUAACCUGACGCUCAUGUGCGAAAGCGUGGGUAGCAAACGGGAUUAGAUACCCUGGUAGUC
rnacentral:rRNA from 1 species